UUAUUAGCAAAAGGAAUUUAUUAGUAUUCUAGUAAAUGGUAGUAUAUCAUGUCGAUAGUUUAGCAACAGAGAAGUAGAGUUCCGUAGCUUGAUAACGCCACGCUCAUUGGUGUUUCUAGUCCAGCAAUGAAUAUUGCUGGAAAAGAUCAGUUACGUAAACCGGAAUUGAAGUGAUGUGUUAGAGAAUAGAAUUGCUGGUAUACCACAGAACGGGCUGUGUAUAGCACAGUACGUUACACACCAUUAUACACCUUAAAACCUUAUCCCUCCAAUUCACUAUGUUGUUCGCUGAGCUAGCCAGGAUGGUUGCGAUUGUUUUGUCAUAAUUUAAUUUCGUGAUUUUUGCAAACAAAUGACCAAUUUCUUCUUGCUUUCUCUAAUUUUAAAAUUGAAUGGAGUGAUACAUCACCAAAAUAUUCCAUCGUCUUCUCUCACUUGUUU